GAGGUCCUACGGGACGCAGCAGUGGGGAAUAUUGCUCAAUGGGGGAAACCCUGAAGCAGCAACGCCGCGUGGAGGAUGAAGGUUUUCGGAUUGUAAACUCCUUUUGUUAGAGAAGAUAAUGACGGUAUCUAACGAAUAUGCACCGGCUAACUCCGUGCCAGCAGCCGCGGUAAUACGGAGGGUGCAAGCGUUACUCGGAAUCACUGGGCGUAAAGAGCGCGUAGGCGGGAUAGCAAGUCAGAUGUGAAAUCCUAUGGCUUAACCAUAGAACGGCAUUUGAAACUGUUAUUCUAGAGUAUGGGAGG
rnacentral:rRNA from 1 species